GUGCACCCCGUCUUUCACGUGUCCCAGUUGAAGCCGUUCACGCCGGUGUACGCGGAGCUGCCCCAGGUCCCAGAUCUAUCCACCGCGACAGAACCCACGUGCAGUCUGGAUCGGCCCAUGAUGAAGCAUGGCAACACAUCAAUUGUUCAGAUCAAGGUACAGUGGGCCGACAACUCCCAUCCGGCGAUGACAUGGGAGGAUUACGAGAUUCUACAGCAACGUUUUCCGGCGGCGCCAAUCUGGGAAGACAGCGACGCAAGUACUCAAGAUGGAGCACAAUCUUAA
rnacentral:rRNA from 1 species